rnacentral:rRNA from 1 species
AGCGAACGCUGGCGGCAGGCCUAACACAUGCAAGUCGAACGAACUCUUCGGAGUUAGCGGCGGACGGGUGAGUAACACGUGGGAACGUGCCUUUAGGUUCGGAAUAACUCAGGGAAACUUGUGCUAAUACCGAAUGUGCCCUUCGGGGGAAAGAUUUAUCGCCUUUAGAGCGGCCCGCGUCUGAUUAGCUAGUUGGUGAGGUAAAGGCUCACCAAGGCGACGAUCAGUAGCUGGUCUGAGAGGAUGAUCAGCCACAUUGGGACUGAGACACGGCCCAAACUCCUACGGGAGGCAGCAGUGGGGAAUCUUGCGCAAUGGGCGAAAGCCUGACGCAGCCAUGCCGCGUGAAUGAUGAAGGUCUUAGGAUUGUAAAAUUCUUUCACCGGGGACGAUAAUGACGGUACCCGGAGAAGAAGCCCCGGCUAACUUCGUG